UUCAGUAGCCACCGGCGCAGGGGCGUGGAGUCCAGUCCUUGGGGGGUGGGAGUGGGCAGGGGGACAAGAGUUAGGUUGGGUGUCAGGACAGGGAGAAGGAGCAAUAAGUCCAGACCUGGAAAACGGCUCUGAUCGCCUAGCAUGCUCCCUGGAACUCUUUGUCACGAAGACUGUUUUCUCCCACAUUCUCACUCUGGCGGGGGAUGGAUUGGGGAGCUUUUUGAUCCGGCUGUUCUCUCUGUGCUGUAGUCUUGCUCCAUCUCCCUGAAUUUGAAGCACACUCACUUGGCUUAUUUCAUUCAUAGCCUUCAGCACUUCUGAAAUGGUCUCUUUCACCUGCCUGCCUACUUCUGCAUGGCUGGCCUUUGAGCGUUUGGAUACCAGCAUCUUGAGUACAGAACUUGGCACUGACCACAGCUGCACCCCCAGCUCUUGGAACAGACUAGAUGUGUGCUCAGGGCAUGGACCCAUGGGGUGUUGGGAUACUUGAGUGAGGCUGGGGACUUGAGACUGACGUGGACAGAGACUCAUGAGAUGGUGUCGUGGCAGGAAGAUGCUGUGGGUUUUGAGUCAGACCCGGUUUAAAUACCUGUCUCAGCUACUAGCCAGUUACCUCAGCCCUGGCAAAUCCUUGCGACUCCUGGAGCCUCUGUUUCCUCAUCUGCAUCAUGCAGGUGAAAUUGCCCACUUCCUGGGAUGGUUGAGAAGAGGAGCGAGGAACCCAGCUCAACAGAGCUUUGCAAGUAGGAAAUGUCUCAGCUCACAGCAUCCAAGCCAGCGGGAGAUAGUGGGUCUCAAGAAGGCCCAGGAUGCAAGAACUGUGACGUGAGGCUGCCAGAACCUUCCACCUGCCCUGCCCUUUGCACUGGUUUGUGUGCCAGCUUUCUCUCUGCAAACUGGCUUCCUCUGUGAUCAACCGGACUUCCAUCAGGGCAGCAAAACCAAGGGAUGAGACAUCUUCCAGAUUUAAGAUGAUUGCUCAGCAGACUGGGCCCAUGGGCUCGAUUUGGGUGUGGAGCAGGCUCAGUUUCAGAUAAAGGAGAACGGGAUUCCAGCCUUUCAUCCCCUCAGAUGCCAGCCAGACAUCAGCCAAGAAGCAGCAGUUUCUAAAGAGAUGCCCUAAGCCAACUUUCCCUUGAAUUUCUCUUUCAACGGGACUUUGAUUCUGGAGCGGUUACAUAACAUCACUUUCUAAGGGGGCCCAACCUCCCACCAUCAGUCUGCCUGGAUGACCUGCUCCUGUUUCCGAAGCAGCCCCUGCAGGUGCCUGGUUCUCUGCUGCGGUGCUAGGUCUUCAAAGAGAAAGCAAGGGCAGCUUCCAUCACUGGGUAAGUGCUUGUCCUCCCAGCUGAGCUUUUUGCAGUUCACCACUCCCCCAUGUGUUGGCCACUACCCACCUUUCCAGAAGCAUUCCUGCUAGCCCUACACAUGUCUACACUGCAGCUCAAUGCUGCACAUCCCUUCUCCUAAACAUCAGGGGGCUGCACUGUCUCUUGGAAACUCCUUCCUGUCCAGCUCCCUACAGCUGCAGACAAAUAGACCCUUCAGGUCAAAUUCCACCACCUUCGGAGAGCCUCCUGGAUUCCCUGCAGUUAGAAGAGGCCCACACCCUUCUCUUCCCCACUGUACAUGACUUGCACGUUUCCUAGGGCAUGGAUCACAGGUUGUUUGCUGCUUGUCAUUUGCUCCCUGUCCUGGUUUCAACACCAUCACCAGCAACAGCACCGGUGACCCUAUGAAACUGUGUGCCCAGCCCAAGUCUGGUGGACAUGGAGACCCACUGCCUUCAGCCAGGGGGUGUGGUCAGCAGACAGAGCCCUGCUCUUGGCUCCUUCACCCAAGCAAGAUGGGGAUUUAAAGGUCCAGCCAAUUCAGCCCAGGAUGGACAGACAAGUCUACUGAACAAUGUUUCCUCUUGAGCUCCGGGGUUAGCCAAAGCUUUGUGGGGUUGGCACUGCAGUUCCACUUUCUCAUCUGCCCCCAUCCUGCCUCCUCUCACUUCCGUUCACCAGUGUUGAUCCCCACGAAGCAUCUUCUACACAAACUCCAACUCAGCACCCGCUUCCCAAGAACCCAGCCAGCAGCACUGGGCCUUCUCUUGGGCUUCUUUGUUCUUUCAUUCAGCAAAGCUUGACCCAGCUCCGACCACGUACAGACACUGUUCUGAGCAAUUGAACUUUGGCAGCAAACAAUGUGGGACUUAAAGGUAUGUGGGGAGAGAGACUAGAAACAAGCAAAUAAAUGAACAAGAUAAUGUAAACGCUGUAAGAACGGACAGGUAAUGGAUCAGAGAGUGACUUGGAGGUAACCACCCUGGAUGGAGAAGGAGGGUGUGGAAAAGCUUCUCUGAGGAGGAGACUUUGAUCCGAGUGCGGAAGGUUGAGAAGGAGCUAGCCAUGGGAAGUGCUGUUCUUUCCAGUUAUUUCUGUCUAACUGCCCUGGACAUCUCGCCAAGUGCUCCCAGGCCCCCAGUGGCCUCCCCUGUCCCUAGUCCUUACUACACUUCUCUGCCUGUGUUCAUGACCUCGGGGGACGCCACCCCUGUCCACCAGCCACUCAGCCCAGAUCCUUGCAGUCACCAUGCCCCCUCCCUCUCCCUCUUUACCAGGUCCUGAUGCCACCAAUACUCUGGGGCUACCACACCCCUGUGCCAGCUACAUGCUGCCGGCACCUGCCAUCAGCUCUUGCAAUACUCACCUGACAGGUUUGUCCUUCUCCGUCUGUCACCAUCCUCCUUGCUCUCGAGGUCCAGAUCCAGCCUCCUUCCUUUAUAAGCCCUCCACCUGACCCCAUGCACACCUGCCUCACAAAACAAAGCACUCCCAACUCUGGGGUCACGCAUCACCCGGUGUAUUAAUUUGCUGGGGCUGGUGUGACAGAGAACCUCACACUGGGAGGCUUGAACAAUGGCAGUUUAUUCUCUCACAGUUCUGGAAGCUGGAAGUCUGAGAUCAAGGUGUCAGCAGGGCUGUGCUCCCUCGGGGACUCUGGAGAGGGUCCUUCUUGCCUGUCCUAGCCCCUGGUGGCAGCCGGAAGUCUUUGGCGUCCCUUGGCUUGCAUCUACAUCAGUCUGAUCCCUGCCUCUGCUGUCACAUGAUGCCCUCCUGUGUCUCUUCCCAUCCUCCUCCCUCUGUGCUUGUCUGUCUCUGUGUUCAAAUUUCCUCUUUUGGGAAAGAUGCAAGUUACAUUGAAUUAGGGUCCACUCUAAUGGAGUCCUUUUAACUUGACUACCUCCGUAAAGAUCCUAUUUCCAAAUAAAUCACAUCCUGAGGCACUGGAGGGUUAAAACUUCAACACAUCUUUUCAACCCAGGACACCUGCCAAGCUUCUACCUUAGUCUUACACACAUCUUGGCAUAAUCUUCUUCCAAUGGGGCCACUCCCCUCCCUCACCCCCUUUUCAAUAUCAGAUUUGCAACAGAAUUUUUUUAUUUUGCAGCACAUUAAAACAAUUUUAUAUCCAACUCAGAUAUAAAACACAAAGUGGAGAUGCUCUCUGAUGAAAGGGGAGGGUGGUGAGUAUCAGAGGUAACCUCCCUGGCCGUGGCACCUUCACUAGCUGGCCUCUGAGGUCUGGGGUGCCGUGAGCCACAGUGGAAAAGCACUGGCUGGACAGCAAGACCCUUGGCAAUGAGCCUGGGCCUUGGCCAAUGGGAACCCUAGGAUCCCAAGCCAGUACCCUCACUUCCUCAAGCCACUGCCCAAACUUCAGCUUCAGAGAUGUCUCCCCUGAUGACCUAGUGACAAACAGUAAUGCCCUGCUUUCUCUCCCCCCACUCUAUUCUGCCUUAUUUUCCUCCCUAGCACUUUCUCCAUACUUAUUUAUUUACUGUCUGUUCCCCCUGCACUAGAAUGUAAGCUUUGUAAGGACAGACACCUCCUGGCUAUUCUUCCAGUGGCCAGAGCAGUGCCUGGUAGGUAGUAGAUGCUCAGUGAAUAUUUAUGGGAUGGAUGGAUCACCUUUUCUUGUAACAACUUUAUUGAGAAAUAACUCACAUUCCAUACAGCUCAGGCAUUUAAUGUGUGCAAUUCAGUGGUUUUUAGCGUGUUCAUCGAGGUUGGGGAGACACAGUAGACCAUUAUCAUGAGAUGUCCUACUCUGAAUGAUACCAGACAAAAGUACCUACUUGAUACUAGCAUACCAGUUUAUUAAAUAUAUUAGUGCAUGAAAAAGAGAAAAUCAGGAUUUUGGAUUGUGAGACAAACAUAGACAUGGAGUUUUUUGUGGGUAAUAUUUCUCUCUUAUUUUGUAAGAAAGCAUAGGUAUUAUACUAAGAAAUCAAAUAAUGCACAUAAGCUGACACCUUAUGAAUAGAUAAUAAAAGUUGUUAUAUAAUAAAAUACAGCAAAUUCAUUAACUUAAAAAUAUUAGGGACUUCCCUGGUGCAGUGGUUAAGAAUCUGCCUGCCAAUGCAGGGGACACGGGUUUGAGCCCUGGUCCGGGAAGAUAACACAUGCCAUGGAGCAACUGAGCCCGUGUGCCACAACUACUGAGCUUGCGCUCUAGAGCCCUCGAGUCACAACUAUUGAGUCCAUGUGCUACAACUACUGAAGCCCGUGUGCCUAGAGCCUGUGCUCUGCAACAAGAGAAGCCACUGCAAUGAGAAGCCCGCACACCACAACUAAGAGUAGCCCCCACUCACUGCAACUAGAGAAAGCCCUCACGUAGCAAUGAAGACUCAACACAGCCAAAAAAAAAAAAAAAAAUUAAACAGCUGUAGUUGAUGCCUAUUGUUUUUAUUUGCUGAGAACCCAUAUCCAGAAACUUCCCCUUUCCCAUCUCUGGAUGUUUAUCAUUGCUAUGGCAGCCGCCACAAUGGUCCAUUGUGUCCCCAGACUCUGCACAUGGCUGAUUAGUUCCAAGUGAGCUCCAGAUGCAAGCUGGGCCCAGCAGAAUCUGGACUCCAAACUAAGCCACGAUUCAUCUGACUGCUUUCCAGAAUAAAAGAGAUGUGAACUUGGAGCUCUUGGUGGCUUUGCUCUGCCACGUGGACUAAGAGGGAAUAAACUGGUGGAUGGUAAGAGAGAAAAAUAAAACAAUGGAAGAAGAAAAUGGAGGUGAGGAGGAGGAGAAGGAGAAAUAGUUGGAAGAGGAAGAGAGAGAAAGAAGAAGACAGAUUCGAAGCACCCAGGAUGCUCUCAACAGUGCUUAGGAGAUGAGUUAUUUAUUACCACAAUAAUGCUGUGUAACAAACAACUGUAAAACUUCAGUGGUAUACGAUCAGCAUUGGUGGUAUGUGCGUACGGAGUCAGGUAGGGGACUGGGUGCUGUUGGUUUUUUCUGGGCUCGUUGGCAUAUCUGGAGGUUGGCUGACUACUACCGAAUCUAAGCUGGCUUCCCCCAGGAUGCGGAGUGACUCAGCUGUGGUCCACAUGGCUCUCAUUCUCCUGUAGACCCGCCUGGGUAUCUUCUUCUCCUGGUGAUGACAGAGGCAAAAGAACUCAAGUGGAAACAUGCAAGGCCAGGGCUGAGAACUAGCAACCUUAACCUGUUGGCCAAAGUAAGUCUUGUGGUUGAACCCGGAACCCGAGUGGAGGGCACUGCACAUCGAUGUGCAAAGUGCAUGUGUGCAGGGAGGGGUGAAGAGUCGGGGUGAUGUUUGCAAUCUACACCAUGGAUGCUUGACUGAGAUCAUGAACACGUAUAAAAACGAGGACUUUAAUGGUCCCUAUUCUCAGUGAGAUGCUCAGUAAAUGUAACCUAGUGUUCCGAUACUUAUCAUGCCCUUGAAGUACUUCACAGACCCCAAUACCUAGUAAAGGGGGUCAAAACUAUUAUUUUCACUGCUACAGAUAAACUUGCAGGAACUCAGGGACUUUCACCCUGUCAGUCACACAAUUCCGAGCCCUCGCCUCCACCUCCUGCUAUGAACUCACUUCAGAUGCAUCUCAUUUCUCCUCUGCACUGACAGCGGUGAUGGGCUAUUCAUUUCUAUAAGUGAUACAUCCUGCCUGGUCUCCCCUCGACUCGCAACCCUUCCAGAUUACUCAGGGCCUCCAAUCACAGUCUAUGCUUCAGUCCAAAUUCUUGGUCCUUUUCAAUAUGGUCCCAACCUGCUCUGGCCUCUUUGCUCGUUUUUCUGCCAUUUCUACCCUGUGGGUCAGUCAGAUGGGAAUCACUGCCCAUGCCCUGCCACGUUUGACAAGCCCCACUCUCCACACCAGUCACGGGUUGGCUGCUAAUCUCCAAGUCAUCUUUUUACUCUGGAACCCAGACUCCUUCCCAAACAUUGCCGGCGGCCAUAGCGGUGGGAAAGAGUAGGGUAAGCUGCACAUGCUCGUACAUCCUGUUCCCAGAAGGGACCCGCAUCACUUCUGCACUUAUUUGAAUGUCCAGAGUCAAAACAACUUUUCCCAGGGAGGGGGCAGCAGGUCUAGGCUCAGAAUCCCUGAACCUUUUUGUUGGGAAAAAAAUUUAAAUAGAUUGGAAAAUUUUGUCGCCAAGUGUUUUCGAGUGUACAGAUAUGAGGAUAUUUGCAGGUGACACAUUUACAUGGCUUUCAACAACAACACUGCAUAACCAUAGAAAUGUUUCCAUACAUCUGUUUUUGAGAGAUUUUUCAAUGCUUGAGGCUGGUUUUUAUUUGCUUGUCUUCCGAAAACUGUUACUUUCUCACUCAUAAUUAAAACCUCUUUUAUAUCAAAGAGAGAUUUUUUUUUUGGAAAUCAAUCCACUUGGAAAUGAGACCCAUUUUUUACUGCAAAGGAAAAAAAUCAACAAAUUUGAACACUUAGCCUGUGUAAAACAAAAAAAAAAUCCAUAACUCUUCCUUACGAAUUAUACUUUCAGGUACUUUACAUAAGAUAAGCAGAAAAUUUCUGUGUGGUAUCAAAGCUUUCAGUAUAAUUAUGAUUGAAUUAUAUCUUACGACUCCUGAAGAUUCAACCUGAGAUAUUCAUUUCAUAAAGCUCAUUAUAUUGAUAGUAUCUUUCACAUAAAGACUUUGAAAAUGACACUCUUACUAUGAAGUGUGUUUUGAUAAUAUAGUAUAAUACGCAUUGGUAAUAUAUCAAUCGUUUGCUUACACAUAUGUAAGGAAAGAGUUUCAUAUGUGGUGCUACUUUUACAAACAUACCUCCCCCAAAAUUCUUUGUAUCUUCUAGUCUAAGCAAAUACUGCAUCUGAGCCCACACUCUUGCCCCGUAAAAAUAUUGUUUUGACUUAAGAAAUAACAUGAUGUUGAAAAUAUAUAUUCUCCAGUACACCUUUCCUUUAGAGUUUCACCAAAAAAGUAAUAUUUUUUUAGGCAUAUUUCACUGCCGAAACAGAGUCUAAGAAUCUAGCAAACAUCGUAAUUUGAGACAUAUUAGUCUCAAUACUGUCAUCCAGCUACAGAGCAAACCACCCACAUGAGGAAUUUGUUUGAUUCAAAUCCCUGCUUUGGAUCUUCAGCAAUGUUUUCUCUGGUUCAGUCAACAGUACUUGCUGACAAAUGAGUUCAUUUUAGUUUGUUGCCAUAUUAUUUUCCAUGCACUAGUUCAGUCAUUUUUCUAAGACCAACAGUAUGUGACCUUUUGUUUUCAUAAUUGAGAAAGAUACCUAAAAAGAACCUUCUCCUGGGAAACUGGUCACAUUAUCUUUUUUGAUCUAGAUCCUGGCUAUUUAGAUGUUUCAUUUUGUGAGUAAUUAAUGAAUUGUACACUUAUAA